rnacentral:rRNA from 1 species
UCAAGCGAACAAGUGCAUGUGGUGGAUGCCUUGGCGAUCACAGGCGAUGAAGGACGCGGUAGCCUGCGAAAAGCUACGGGGAGCUGGCAAACGAGCUUUGAUCCGUAGAUGUCCGAAUGGGGAAACCCACUCCGAAUGGAGUAUCCAUGACUGAAUACAUAGGUCAUGUGAAGCGAACGCGGUGAACUGAAACAUCUAAGUAACCGCAGGAAAAGAAAUCAACCGAGAUUCCCAGAGUAGUGGCGAGCGAAAUGGGAUCAGCCUGUACUCUUUAUCUUCAUUGUUAGUCGAAGGCUCUGGAAAGUGCCGCCAUAGCAGGUGAUAGCCCUGUAGACGAAAACAGCGAGGAAGAACUAGGUGUACGACAAGUAGGGCGGGACACGUGAAAUCCUGUCUGAAGAUGGGGGGACCAUCCUCCAAGGCUAAAUACUCGUGAUCGACCGAUAGUGAACCAGUACCGUGAGGGAAAGGCGAAAAGAACCCCGGGAGGGGAGUGAAAUAGAUCCUGAAACCGCAUGCAUACAAACAGUAGGAGCCUCGCAAGGGGUGACUGCGUACCUUUUGUAUAAUGGGUCAGCGACUUACAUUCAGUGGCAAGCUUAACCGAUUAGGGCAGGCGUAGCGAAAGCGAGUCCGAACAGGGCGAUUCAGUCGCUGGGUGUAGACCCGAAACCAGGUGAUCUAUCCAUGGCCAGGAUGAAGGUGCGGUAACACGUACUGGAGGUCCGAACCCACUAACGUUGAAAAGUUAGGGGAUGAGCUGUGGAUAGGGGUGAAAGGCUAAACAAACCUGGAAAUAGCUGGUUCUCUCCGAAAACUAUUUAGGUAGUGCCUCGUGUAUCACCUUCGGGGGUAGAGCACUGUCAUGGUUGUGGGGUCCAUUGCGGAUUACUACGCCAUAGCAAACUCCGAAUACCGAAGAGUGCAAUCACGGGAGACAGACAUCGGGUGCUAACGUCCGGUGUCAAGAGGGAAACAACCCAGACCGCCAGCUAAGGUCCCCAAAUAUUGCUAAGUGGGAAACGAAGUGGGAAGGCUAAAACAGUCAGGAGGUUGGCUUAGAAGCAGCCAUCCUUUAAAGAAAGCGUAAUAGCUCACUGAUCGAGUCGUCCUGCGCGGAAGAUGUAACGGGGCUAAGCAAUAUACCGAAGCUGCGGAUGCACAUUUAUGUGCAUGGUAGGAGAGCGUUCCGUAAGCCUGCGAAGGUGCACUGGAAAGUGUGCUGGAGGUAUCGGAAGUGCGAAUGCUGACAUGAGUAGCGAUAAAGGGGGUGAAAAGCCCCCUCGCCGUAAGCCCAAGGUUUCCUACGCAACGUUCAUCGGCGUAGGGUGAGUCGGCCCCUAAGGCGAGGCAGAAAUGCGUAGCUGAUGGGAAGCAGGUUAAUAUUCCUGCACCAUUGUUAAAUGCGAUGGGGGGACGGAUCGCGGAAGGUUGUCCGGGUGUUGGAAGUCCCGGUCCUUGCAUUGGAGAAGGCGCUUAGGCAAAUCCGGGCGCGGAAUUCAAGGGUGCGAGGCCAUUCACUUCGGUGAAGAAGCAAUCGGAAGUGGUUCCAAGAAAAGCCUCUAAGCUUCAGUUUAACAAGACCGUACCGCAAACCGACACAGGUGGGCGAGAUGAGUAUUCUAAGGCGCUUGAGAGAACUCGGGAGAAGGAACUCGGCAAAUUGGUACCGUAACUUCGGGAUAAGGUACGCCCUGUAGCUUGACUGGCUCGCGCCAGAAGGGUGAAGGGGUUGCAAUAAACUGGUGGCUGCGACUGUUUAAUAAAAACACAGCACUCUGCAAACACGAAAGUGGACGUAUAGGGUGUGACGCCUGCCCGGUGCCGGAAGAUUAAAUGAUGGGGUGCAAGCUCUUGAUUGAAGUCCCGGUAAACGGCGGCCGUAACUAUAACGGUCCUAAGGUAGCGAAAUUCCUUGUCGGGUAAGUUCCGACCUGCACGAAUGGCGUAACGAUGGCCACACUGUCUCCUCCCGAGACUCAGCGAAGUUGAAGUGUUUGUGAUGAUGCAAUCUCCCCGCGGCUAGACGGAAAGACCCCAUGAACCUUUACUGUAGCUUUGCAUUGGACUUUGAACCGAUCUGUGUAGGAUAGGUGGGAGGCUAUGAAGCGUGGACGCCAGUCUGCGUGGAGCCGUCCUUGAAAUACCACCCUGGUUUGUUUGAGGUUCUAACCUUGGUCCGUAAUCCGGAUCGGGGACAGUGCAUGGUAGGCAGUUUGACUGGGGCGGUCUCCUCCCAAAGUGUAACGGAGGAGUACGAAGGUACGCUAGGUACGGUCGGAAAUCGUGCUGAUAGUGCAAUGGCAUAAGCGUGCUUAACUGCGAGACCGACAAGUCGAGCAGGUGCGAAAGCAGGUCAUAGUGAUCCGGUGGUUCUGUAUGGAAGGGCCAUCGCUCAACGGAUAAAAGGUACUCUGGGGAUAACAGGCUGAUACCGCCCAAGAGUUCAUAUCGACGGCGGUGUUUGGCACCUCGAUGUCGGCUCAUCUCAUCCUGGGGCUGUAGCCGGUCCCAAGGGUAUGGCUGUUCGCCAUUUAAAGAGGUACGUGAGCUGGGUUUAAAACGUCGUGAGACAGUUUGGUCCCUAUCUGCCGUGGGCGCUGGAUAUUUGAAGGGGGCUGCUCCUAGUACGAGAGGACCGGAGUGGACGAACCUCUGGUGUACCGGUUGUCACGCCAGUGGCAUCGCCGGGUAGCUAUGUUCGGAAGAGAUAACCGCUGAAAGCAUCUAAGCGGGAAACUCGCCUUAAGAUGAGAUAUCCCCGGGGCUUCGAGCCCCUUGAAGGGUCGUUCAAGACCAGGACGUUGAUAGGUCAGGUGUGGAAGCGCAGUAAUGCGUUAAGCUAACUGAUACUAAUUGCCCGUAAGGCUUGAUC